rnacentral:tRNA from 1 species
CGACGCCGUGCCGUGACGGGCCGCGGCCGGCGACGGCUCGGUGCCGCCGCGGGCCGCGUUCCGGUCGCGGAGCGCCGCCC